CCCCAUUUGAAAAGUCUUUUUUGUGCUUAAAACAUGUACAAGUUGUUGGUGACGCUUUCAGAUCAAUUAUAAUGGAUGAUUCUAUAAAAUUAAAUUUCAUGCAGCAUAAAGUAGGCUACCCUUUCUCUAAAUGUCUGCUCACCAGAUAAGUGCACAUAUAAAAAUGAAUGAACUGAGUUUACCUACAUAUGAUUGGAAAUGUGCUGAAAACCUGAUCUUAUCUAAGGUGACCAUUUAUCUCCAGUGAUUUCAGACAGUUAGAUUGGCUUCUCUUAAAAUACUUUCAUGCUUCAAAUAUCUAAGUAAAACAGACUUGUUAUCACUGUCUUGUUAGGUUUGGCCUUGAACAAACCAAUAAUUGUAUUUAUCUUCUUC
rnacentral:lncRNA from 1 species